rnacentral:rRNA from 1 species
GACGAACGCUGGCGGCGUGCUUAACACAUGCAAGUCGAACGGAAAGGCCCUGCUUUUGUGGGGUGCUCGAGUGGCGAACGGGUGAGUAACACGUGAGUAACCUGCCCUUGACUUUGGGAUAACUUCAGGAAACUGGGGCUAAUACCGGAUAGGAGCUCCUGCUGCAUGGUGGGGGUUGGAAAGUUUCGGCGGUUGGGGAUGGACUCGCGGCUUAUCAGCUUGUUGGUGGGGUAGUGGCUUACCAAGGCUUUGACGGGUAGCCGGCCUGAGAGGGUGACCGGCCACAUUGGGACUGAGAUACGGCCCAGACUCCUACGGGAGGCAGCAGUGGGGAAUAUUGCACUAUGGGCGGAAGCCUGAUGCAGCAACGCCGCGUGCGGGAUGACGGCCUUCGGGUUGUAAACCGCUUUCGCCUGUGACGAAGCGUGAGUGACGGUAAUGGGUAAAGAAGCACCGACUAACUACGUG